GUUUCAAUUCCUCAUAGGCAGGCUAUCGGCGACCCCGAAACCGAAGAACUGCUGCUGCCGGUCUUGAG
rnacentral:sRNA from 1 species